ACGGAUCAUAAUAUCAGAGUUGCUUCCGUCUUUGUUUACAUCUGGAUGGUAUUGUUUCACCUUUACAAAGCACAAAGUAGUCAACAAGACUAAUACAUAUUAAAAAUCCAAAACUUAAGCAACGAGGAGGCGAAGA
rnacentral:sRNA from 1 species